AUUCAUCUGCUGUCUGAUCCCAGCCUCAGGCUCCGACUCAAGAGUGUCUUCCAGAGGAACGGUUCUGUGGGGAUGUUCUACAUCACAAACAUCAGCCACUCCACAACAGAGAAAGUGUUAUUGAUGUUUUUCUAAAGCCAUUCCUCCAACCACAUGUAUUAUUAGAGUGGACGGUCAAAAUUGCACCAAUAUACAAGGAUGUUAUAAUGUGCACCAGGCGACAUACAGAUGUCAAACAUGCCAGCAGCAGUGCAGCCCUGAUUUAAAGGACCCGAUUAGGAGUGGAUAUUGGCCAGCAUCUGUCAACAUGUCUGCUCUUUACACUUAGACCCUUGAGCUCCUUCCAGGAACUAAAAGUAUUUUCUCCAUGAUU